rnacentral:sRNA from 1 species
UGCCGUUUUACAAAUGCAGGUCGAGGUU